rnacentral:rRNA from 1 species
ACAGGGGGCGCGAGCGUUGCUCGGAAUCACUGGGCGUAAAGCGUACGCAGGCGGACCGUUAAGUCGGGUGUGAAAUCCCAGGGCUCAACCCUGGACGUGCAUUCGAUACUGGCGGUCUCGAGUACGGGAGAGGUGAGCGGAAUUCCUGGUGUAGCGGUGAAAUGCGUAGAUAUCAGGAGGAACACCGGUGGCGAAGGCGGCUUUCUGGACAGAUACCGACGCUGAGGCACGAAAGCUAGGGGAGCAAACAGGA